rnacentral:rRNA from 1 species
UGGGGAAUUUUCCGCAAUGGGCGAAAGCCUGACGGAGCAAUACCGCGUGAGGGAGGAAGGCUCUUGGGUCGUAAACCUCUUUUCUCAGGGAAGAAGAAAGUGACGGUACCUGAGGAAUAAGCAUCGGCUAACUCCGUGCCAGCAGCCGCGGUAAUACGGAGGAUGCAAGCGUUAUCCGGAAUGAUUGGGCGUAAAGGGUCCGCAGGUGGUACUGUAAGUCUGCUGUUAAAGAGUCUGGCUUAACCAGAUAAAAGCAGUGGAAACUACAGAACUAGAGUGCGUUCGGGGCAGAAGGAAUUCCUGGUGUAGCGGUGAAAUGCGUAGAUAUCAGGAAGAACACCGGUGGCGAAAGCGUUCUGCUAGGCCGCAACUGACACUGAGGGACGAAAGCUAGGGGAGCGAAUGGGAUUAGAUACCCCAGUAAGUCCUAGCCGUAAACGAUGGAUACUAGGCGUGGCUUGUAUCGACCCGAGCCGUGCCGGAGCUAACGCGUUAAGUAU